UGUUGCCUCCACACCAGCCUCCCCCUCCCAGGGCUCCUGAUCCUUGGGGCCCUGCCCUGACUGUGCAUGUGACUGACUACAGCCACCAGCCUAGGCAAGGAUUCAGACUUUCGUUCUAAGCCAGGGACAGUAGGUUCUUUCCUGAACCCAGGCUGGCCUCAAACAUGUGGAAGUCCUAACUCAGACUCCCAGUUGCUGCGACUACAGAGAGAAUAAAGGAGAAUGUGAAUUAACUGUGUUUACUGAAGUGGAUGGCGGAAGAAAGCAGUGGGACAGAGGCGAGCACUGAACCGGACACAGAUCACAGGGCUGCCUCUUGGCCAAGGAGCAAUGGGAGAUGUGGAAGGUGCUUGCCUGUCCUGGAGACUCCGAGGAGAGGAUGACAGGAUCCAGACCAGUCAGCUACAUAAAGAGACUUUGCCCAACACAAAACAAUAUCCCCUUGUGAUGGCACAUGUUUGUAAACCCAACACUUGAGAGGCUGAGGUAGGGGGAGCAGGAGUUCAAGGCUGUCCUUGGCUACACGUCAAGUUUGAGACUCGCUUGAGCUACCUGAGAACAUGACUCUAAAUAUGUAAACAAACAAACAAACAAACAAAUAAAUAGUUUGGUGUGUGUGUGUGUGUGUGUGUGUGUGUACACACACUCACAUACACUCAUACACACCACACACUAGUUUUUCCCUCUAACUCUGUGACUCUGGGCAGUGAUGAAUCAGGUCAAUAUUUAAAGAUGGUCCCUGCACAAUA